ensembl:lncRNA
AGAAGACAUAUCUUGCUAAGGUUCUGAGCUCCAAGAGUAAGUCAAAGACUUCAAGAUUAGCUAUUUAUGUGCUACUUGGACUUUCAAGUAACCUUUUUUUCACUCAGAAGGGCAGUUAGGCCACCAUUAUGUUGUUCUAGCUGACUCCAAACCCACUUAUCCACUUCAAGGUAUGAAAUGAUCAAAUCUUAGAAUGAGUGCAGCAGUCAAAACACCAAGUUUUUGGUGUCUCUACUCUGCUCAAAUAAUGGCACUGACGUUUUAAAUGAAAUAGUUUGACAGCUAUGAAGGUUUGUUUUUCAGGUGGAGCAGCUUAGCAGGGUAGCUGCAAGGGAAUUUUGCAGGAUGGAUCAGAGAGUAGUACUUCCAGCACCAAGGCCAUCUGCUGGUGUUGUCACUGUAAUACUGUCUGAGGAGCAACUAUCGUUACUACAGAUAUAUAGUAUGAAAUAAUCUUACUGUUAAGGAGAGAGAGACAGAAGAAAACUAUUAUUUAGGCUUGCUUAAUUUUUGAAGCUCCCCUCAACUUUUUGAGCUUCAGCCUUACCCUGACAAAGAAACUCCCAUCACAGCUGUAUGUGAGUCAGAAGUCCGGGUAUAUUUAGCUAAUGCUUGUAGAAGUUGCGCCACCUGGAGCCAGUUACACAGAACGGAAAAUACCAAAUGUUUUCUAAUGACCUGUGAUGAAAACAUACAUUUUGCCUGUCCAAGUAAAGCUUGAAGACAGCAAAGCGUGUUCCUGCUGCUUGCAAGAAGAGAAUUAUAAUAAAAUUAGCACUUUGUCGCUGCCAGCAUUUCAUAUGGAGUUCUUUAUAAAUAUUCAUAUAAAUGACCCAUCUUGCUAAUUAAGUAGUUGUCUCUAUACAGAGAAUGGUACUUCGUGGUAUGCAAUGGGUGUUAAUCUCCCCCCAGAAGUUAAGUACAAGGCGCUUUUAUGGUCUGUGAUCUUAACUGUGCUAGGAGCUUCAUUCAGAUACAUAACUUGUCCUGCCUAGAAUUCAGAGUAAGAUCAAAUGAUAAAGGUCAACCUCAGUAAACAUUUGCCCAUAGAAAUGGCAUUAAAUAGCUAUGGUGUUCCUCCUCAUAUCCAUCAUGCUGUGUUUUGUGGAAGACUGAACUGAAAUUCAAUUUGCCUGUUGAUGUUUACACCAGCAGCUGUUUUGAGAAUUUCAGCAUUCAUUUCAUCAAGAGUCACCUGACGAGGCAGAAAAAGUGAUUAAAUGUGCAUUUAAGCAUAUUUACAUGGAUGCACACCUUUGAGAAGCCUACUCUGUGGUAGUUAAGAAUCACAGAUGUUGAUUGCAGUGCCUACCUUGUUCUGUUACAACUGCUAUUUCUGUUGACAAAAAAGUGUGCUGUACCAGAGAAAGUCCACAGAGAACAGUAAUACUCAGCAGGUGCCAAUAAGGACAGAAUCGGAGAGCUAAUUUAAUCUGCUUCUCAGGUUGCUGAAGGUAGCAGCUGGAAUUCCACUAAUUAUCUCCUUCCCAUCUUAGCUUAUAAAGUAAGUGCACCUUAUGGAAUAAGUAGAAAGUAUUCAUUAUUUCCAACAGAUGAAAAUUAUGUUUUAUCCUAAACAAUUGUUAAGAGACCCCAAGCGUGCAUAGUUGCCACUGAGAAGUUUAUAUAUGGGAAAUAACAUGGAGCGUAUUCACUUUGUUAUACUUACGUGUCGAGAUACAAACCUUAGUUUUAGGGGAUUUCAAUCCACUGUUCUUGUAACUACAUUUUUUUUUUUCUUUUUUAAAUCACGUUUAGUUAUCAUAAAGACCUUUGGUUUCAGUCAGAUUGUUUAAAAGAGACCGCUACACUUAAUAACUGAUAUUAUUUUGUGGUGGAAUAAUCUGUCCUCCAAGAACGUAAAAGAUGUGGAAACACUCUCAUAAAAUAUAAUGCCAGUUCAAGCCAGUAUUUCUCUUCUUAUGAGUGGUGAAUACUGGAAGAAUGACAAACACUACUGGCCUUAUCUGGAUCACAGUACUGUUGAUCUAAAUCACAUAUACAGUGCCCUCCAGUUGUGUUAGGUAUGCAGGAAUGCAGAGCCUCUUAGCAGUGGUUAAAGUCCUCCCUUUGGGAAACAGCUCCCUCAAGAAUUCUCUCAAAGCCUGGCACAUACAUUCCUGGGCAGUUUUUCUGUAGUCACCAUGUCCGUUGAUCUCUUGAUACCAUCCGAUGGAUUUGGGUUGUUUAUCCAACUAGUUCUGUGUUUGCAUAAUGUUUUCACCACUUCCCAGGAUGAUUUGAACCUCUGUGAAAAUGUGGUACAAUCCUCAGAAUUUACUUAAUAUACCAGGCAUCUCACGUUAACAACCUUUUUGUAGUGUUGCACAAUAGAUAUACAAUGCAAUUUAUUUUUAGGCAGUACAAAUAAGAAAAUAAUAAGCAUCGUUCUUGAUUAUUUUAUUUAUUUUUUUAAUUUAAAUUUUUUUCUCCCCAGAAAGAGCAUAUAGUAAAAAAAAAGAAGUCUACUAGGACAAAUAGAAAAAAGGGGCCUAGUUCUCCAAAUUAUUCCCUUAAGUUAUUCUGUUACUACCUGCCAUUCUGGCUGCAAUCAGUUUCAGAUGAAGUCAAUAGCCAAAGAAAUACCACAAAUUAAUUUAUUGAUGACAUUCUUGUUCACUGACUGAUGUUAAUUGACCAUCAAAAGAAUAAAUGUAUGGAAUCCUCAGAAGAAACAUAUCUGUUUAAUUUCAGUUUUCUUAUUUCUCUUCGAAAAUACAUGAUAUCUUACAGCAUCAGCAGAAGGUGGGCUUCUUUUCUCAUACUUACUUUAGAGAUAGUCACUGAAAGUGAAAUAACUUGUGAUGUGAUGAACUCCAUUACACCCUGGGUAUUGCUGCUGGUGAGUGGAUGACUUACAGGAUUAUUAACAGAGUCAAUCUCCUGAUGAUCCAAGCAGACAUUUUUAUUUGCUAACAAAAUGCAGUAAUGGAAAGAACUAUGAGAAAGCUGGAGGAAUUUGCCUAGUGGCUAACAGGACUUGAGCAUACACCUUAAACUUAUUUUAUAGAGGUAGUGCAAUAAAUAAGUAAAUAAAUAUACAUAUAUACAUAUAUAUAUAUCCUAGCAUAUGUUCAUAUUUGACCAAAAGCUAUUUUCAGGUUAUGGUAUUUCUCAUUUGGGAAAUGAAGGUACUUGCAAUCCACCAUCCCCUGGUCUCUGAGAAGUGACCCAGGUAAAUAGAUACUUAAGACCAUAUAAAAUUUAUCUUGGACUGCCAGAAGAGUUAGCAGAUGAUCAUGAUAUUCAUUCUGUAUUGUGCUCUCCUGAGGAAUCUUCAAAUAUUUGAAGAGCAAAGCAUGGGAAUCAUGAUUUCCUCCCUUGCUGAAAGUAACUACCACUUCACUGUAACAAAGAAAAGUCAAUUCUCAAGCAGCACAGAAAUGUAGGGCAAGAACUAAGGAAUACUUUUUAUACAGUUGCAGUGAUAUGUUGAGAGUGUAACUAUUUAUAUUGGAAUUUAAAGAGGAGAUUUCAAUUACCAAUCCUUCUUUAUGAGAACUACAAUGGCCACUUUUUAGCUGCUGUGUAUGUAUUUUAUGAUUCUAUAACAGUUCCUCUUCAAUGACAACUGAACAGCAUUUCCUAAGCCUGCAGAUUUUUAAUUCCAACUGGUUUUAUUUUGACCACUGUGGAAUAAUGCUGCUUUUUGAAUCAUCCAAGUUAGUUUUCAGAAAGGUCUACAUAAUCUCUCAAAGGUUUCUUUCUUUCUUUUUUUCUUUUUUUUUUUUGUCUGACUACAGAUCAGACCCACUGCAACUCAGCUUAUGAGAUGCUAUUAAACUGGUAUUGCUGGAAGAUGCUUUUAUAUGACACAAACAAACAAACAAACAAACACUGUAUGUUCUUUUUCCUGAUGCGUGCAUAUGGCUGGUUCUGCAACACUGCCAUGCUGUCUUUGCUAGGACAGAGAGUGACUUUUACCUCCUAACCUUGAUGUGCACAUUGUUUUUUUUUUCCUCAUGCUUUCUCUGCCUGCAGCCUGAUGCAUAUAUAUCCAUCCUGCUUCAUUCCACCACUCCUUUCUAAGCCAGCAGCCUAAUAAUGAAGCUCUUCAUGAGACUGUGAAGCCAGUACCAGCAACAAUGAGUCUUCAUUAUUCCUGGAGAAGACUGGGGUGUUUGAUAUGCAUGAAGCUUUGUGCAGAUAGCUACGACUAUAAACUGCCAUUUGUUACUGUCAAACAAAUAAGUGUUACAACUAUUUAGAAGUGUUGCUCUUCUCUAGCAAGGGAUUUAUACUUGAAAAAUAAAACAAAAACUAAUUAGUACCUUAUCUUUUUUUUUUCCACCGAAAUGAAUGGAUUUUGGCUGAUGAACGGAAAUCUUGUUCCCUGUUACUGCUUACUCAAUGGGGUUGGAAAUGAUAAAGAAUUGGAUUGAUAUAAGUAACUGAGAUACUUACCUGUGACCUGAGACCUAGUCUGACGAAUCUUUUAGCUAUUUGCACAUAGAUACCAUGUUUGUAAAAUACACAAACUUGUCACAUAAUACAUAACUAUGUAUUUGUAGAUUUAAAAAAUAUAUAUACUUUGCAGAGACCCUACAAAUUGAAAAUGCUGAUCAUCUAUUUGGCUUUUUGUUAUGCAG